rnacentral:rRNA from 1 species
UACGAAGGGGGCUAGCGUUGCUCGGAAUCACUGGGCGUAAAGCGCACGUAGGCGGAUCGCUAAGUCAGGGGUGAAAUCCUGGAGCUCAACUCCAGAACUGCCUUUGAUACUGGCAAUCUCGAGUCCGGGAGAGGUGAGUGGAACUGCGAGUGUAGAGGUGAAAUUCGUAGAUAUUCGCAAGAACACCAGUGGCGAAGGCGGCUCACUGGCCCGGUACUGACGCUGAGGUGCGAAAGCGUGGGGAGCAAACGGG